AGCAGCCGCGGUAAUUCCAGCUCCAAUAGCGUAUAUUAAAGUUGUUGCAGUUAAAAAGCUCGUAGUUGAAUUUCGGGAUCAGUGGGUCGGUCGUGCCACUGGUAUGUACUGGCCCUACUGGUUCCUCCUUCUUGAAGAACUGUAAUGCCAUUAAUUUGGUGUUGCAGGGAAACAGGACUGUUACUUUGAAAAAAUUAGAGUGUUUAAAGCAGGCAAUCGCUUGAAUACAUUAGCAUGGAAUAAUGAAAUAGGACGUUUGAUCCUAUUUUGUUGGUUUCUAGGAUUGACGUAAUGAUUAAUAGGGAUAGUUGGGGGCAUUAGUAUUCAAUUGUCAAAGGUGAAAUUCUUGGAUUUAUUGAAGACUAACUACUGCGAAAGCAUUUGCCAAGGAUGUUUUCAUUAAUCAAGAACGAAAGUUAGGGGAUCGAAGACGAUCAGAUACCGUCGUAGUCUUAACCAUAAACUAUGCCGACUAGGGAUCGGAUGAUGUUAAUUUUUAAUGACUCAUUCGGCGCCUUAA
rnacentral:rRNA from 1 species